rnacentral:lncRNA from 1 species
GGGGCGUGACACCAUACCUCUCGGACUGUCACUUCUCUUACUAUCACUAUACCCACGUCACUCUGUUACUUCUCAUUAAAAAAAUAAAAUCACUAGGAUAAAAUUAUUGAAGAUAUUUUAAAAUUUUGAUUUCACAUUAUCGAUAAUUUAAUUAUCAUAUCAAAUAUAUCAAUCAAAAUUUUUAAUAAUUUUAAUAAAU